rnacentral:lncRNA from 1 species
GUUGACUAAUUUGUCUACUGAACACUUGCCAAUUAGAACACAUUUACUUCUGCAUGCUUUCCCUUUUGUCUAGAAAUGGUUUUAAUUUUCUUAUUAUGAAUUUCUAUAGAUGCUACAUCCACAAGAUGAGCAGCAACAGAUUGAAUUCCUGAAUUCGUUUAGUCUCAUCUCCAGCAUGAGUUAAAAUUUGGGUUUGAAACUCAGGUGGACUGUUGAGUAGUCCAAAUCUGAAUUUCUACUGGAGUCUUGCUAGAUGAUAUCAGGAACAAGGUAACUUCUACUGUGUGAUUUGCCGAUUGCCACCAGUCAAAAAGAUCACCUUACAUAAGGUUACUGGAUUGGUGAUUGGAUGUUGAUCUUAACAUGUAAGGAUCUGUAAAAUGAAUGCCAAUACAUUUCAACUGUUUAUGCUAUUUAAAGUUUGUUAGACCCAUCUUUUGGUCCUGAAUCUUCAUAGGUCUUUCAUGGUGCAGACAUUCUGUCAAUGCCAAGGUUAUUUUUAAGA